rnacentral:rRNA from 1 species
UCGCCCUUGGGUGCAGCAGGCGCGAAAACUUUACAAUGCUGGAAACAGCGAUAAGGGGACCUCGAGUGCCAGGUUACAAAUCUGGCUGUCGUGAUGCCUAAAAAGCAUUGCAUAGCAAGGGCCGGGCAAGACCGGUGCCAGCCGCCGCGGUAACACCGGCGGCUCGAGUGGUAACCGUUAUUAUUGGGUCUAAAGGGUCUGUAGCCGGCCGGAUAAGUCUCUUGGGAAAUCCAGCAGCUCAACUGUUGGGCUUUCAGGAGAUACUGUCUGGCUCGAGGCCGGGAGAGGUGAGAGGUACUUCAGGGGUAGGGGUGAAAUCUUGUAAUCCUUGAAGGACCACCAGUGGCGAAGGCGUCUCACCAGAACGGACCUGACGGCAAGGGACGAAAGCUAGGGGCACGAACCGGAUUAGAUACCCGGGUAGUCCUAGCCGUAAACGAUACUCGCUAGGUGUCGGCCACGGUGCGACCGUUGUCGGUGCCGUAGGGAAGCCGUGAAGCGAGCCACCUGGGAAGUACGGCCGCAAGGCUGAAACUUAAAGGAAUUGGCGGGGGAGCAC